rnacentral:rRNA from 1 species
AUGGUUUGUUGCUCUCGGCGGCGAGACCGGCCGGCGGCCGGCGGGCUGCUCGGGUCGUGGCUCCUCAUCGCCGUCCUCGUCCAAUCCUCGCUCCUCGGAUCCACCUUCCUCUUGGCCGUCGACGCCGCUCGCACGUCGGCGUUCAUGGCCAUGGCGCCGCUACCAGCUGUGGCUAUGGCCCCCUCGCCGUCGGGGCUCAAGGACGACAAAAGGCGCGUGCCGACGGGUGCAAACCCUUUGCACAACAGAUGA